rnacentral:rRNA from 1 species
GACGAACGCUGGCGGCGUGCUUAACACAUGCAAGUCGAACGAUGAAGCCGGAGCUUGCUCUGGUGAAUUAGUGGCGAACGGGUGAGUAACACGUGAGUAACCUGCCCUUGACUCUGGGAUAACUGCGGGAAACUGUAGCUAAUACCGGAUACGACCCUCGGAGGCAUCUCCUGGGGGUGGAAAGAAUUUCGGUCAAGGAUGGACUCGCGGCCUAUCAGCUAGUUGGUGAGGUAAAGGCUCACCAAGGCGACGACGGGUAGCCGGCCUGAGAGGGUGACCGGCCACACUGGGACUGAGACACGGCCCAGACUCCUACGGGAGGCAGCAGUGGGGAAUUUUGCACAAUGGGCGCAAGCCUGAUGCAGCAACGCCGCGUAAGGGAUGACGGCCUUCGGGUUGUAAACCUCUUUUAGCAGGGAAGAAGCGAAAGUGACGGUACCUGCAGAAAAAGCACCGGCUAACUACGUGCCAGCCGCCGCAGUAA